UACGUAGGGACCAAGCGUUGUUCGGAUUUACUGGGCGUAAAGGGCGCGUAGGCGGCUUAACAAGUCACUUGUGAAAUCUCCGGGCUUAACUCGGAACGGCCAAGUGAAACUGUCAAGCUAGAGUGCAGAAGGGGCAAUCGGAAUUCUUGGUGUAGCGGUGAAAUGCGUAGAUAUCAAGAGGAACACCUGAGGUGAAGACGGGUUGCUGGGCUGACACUGACGCUGAGGCGCGAAAGCCAGGGGAGCAAGCGGG
rnacentral:rRNA from 1 species